AUGCUUCCUUAUGAGAUCUUUGCUGCUACUUUCCAUUGUGUUAUACCAUCAAUUAAGCUAGACUUGAAAAAUUAUUUGCUUGGACAUGAUCAUACAUACAUUGUUGGUGGCAUUGCUCUCAUUCCUGAUGAUGACACUUAUUUUCCUUAUGCUAGUCCUAUGCUUAAUAAAACAUAUUAUUCCCAUGCUAGUCUUGAGCUUAAUGAUAAAUUUCAUUCUCAUGUUAGUGUCGACCUUGCUGAUUUCUACCAUCCUAAACAUGUGCUUUAUAGCUAUGCUUAUGUAAUUGGAUAUUCGAUUGAUGACUUGGAGGGUAUUAUCCCUACCACUUGUAUUGUCUCUUUCGUUGAAUGCUCUUUCAGGUUUUUGCUUGUGCACGAUCCAUUACAUGUUGACCAGGUUCAAGGUGACAUUCCUUGGGACCCUGGUGGGCUCAGAGCAUGGGGAUGA
rnacentral:rRNA from 1 species